ensembl:snRNA U6 U6 spliceosomal RNA
GGGCUUACUUCAACAGCACAUACGCUAAAAUUGGAAUAGGACAAAGACGAUUAGGUUGGCACCUGUACAAGCAUGACACACAAACUCGUGAAAUGUUCCAUGUUUUU